rnacentral:snoRNA from 1 species
AACUUCCCACAUUCCUUCCCCUUGGAUCCAAACAUUAGUCUGAGUGGGUCAAAAAGGGAGGGCAGGUCAAACUGAAGUGAACUUGGAUUCUUUAGUAACAUACAAGUUCAUUUCAAAUAUAU